CCUACGGGUGGCAGCAGUGAGGAAUAUUGGUCAAUGGACGCAAGUCUGAACCAGCCAUGCCGCGUGGAGGCUGAAGGUUUUCGGAUUGUAAACUCCUUUUGUUAGAGAAGAUAAUGACGGUAUCUAAAGAAUACGCACCGGCUAACUCCGUGACAGCAGCCGCGGUAAUACGGAGGUUGCCAGCGUUCCUCGGAAUCACUGGGCGUAAAGAGCGCGUAGGCGGGAUAGCAAGUCAGAUGUGAAAUCCUAUGGCUUAACCAUAGAACUGCAUUUGAAACUGUUAUUCUAGAGUAUGGGAGAGGUAGGUGGAAUUCUUGGUGUAGGGGUAAAAUCCGUAGAGAUCAAGAGGAAUACUCAUUGCGAAGGCGACCUGCUAGAACAUAACUGACGCUGAUGCGCGAAAGCGUGGGGAGCAAACAGGAUUAGAUACCCGAGUAGUC
rnacentral:rRNA from 1 species